UGCUUUGGAUUUGACGGAUUUCAGCAAAUUUAGAAAAACAAACAAACAAAAAAACACACAGAUAUAUAUAUAUAUAGCCUUUCAGGAAUUUUGAGUGCCACCUCCAUUAACCAUACCAAAUCAUCCCUUAGGAACUGGACUGAACAGUUUGAUAAUAUUCUGUAUGUUAACUCAGAAACAUAUUUUACCUUCGUAUUUGCUUCUUUUGGAAAGAAGGAAGAAUGAAUUGUUACCCAGAAUGAUGGUCUGAGAGUCUAAAAUAGCACCAUAUUACUAAGCAAUUGUUAAAGAACUAUUUUUCACAUCACCAAUGUUUCAUCAUGCAAGAUUGAAAAAAUAACCCUGCAAAAAUAAACAAAGAUCGUUGGGAAACACAUGUAAUACCAGCAGCAUCACAAGGUCUCAGUCACAAUGCCACGAGCUGGCGCAUCAAACCCUUCAAGAAAGAGAAGCCUUUUAAAUUUGUAGGUGAUGGCUACAGAUGGAUGGAGGAUAAAUGCCAUGGAGGAUAAAUGCCUUUCAACUUAGUGGAGUUUUGCCGUUGAGUUCAGUGCUGCCAGAUUUCACCCCAGCUUCAUUCAUCAGCCAAAUAAUGGAGUUGAAGUCAGUUCACCUUUAGGAGCAAGCACACUGAGCUACUUAAGAUCACUUACUAUGGCUUUAGGAUGAAGACUUGCAGGAUUUCUGAAAAUCUGUGGAUUGAAAACUGGCUGAAAAACAGGACCCAGAGGGUACUUGUCAGUUGUGCAGUUCUAGUUGGAGCCUAGUAAAAAGUAGAGUACCCUAGGACUCAAUACUGGGUCCAGUCCUGUUUAACAGUUUAGUUAAUGAUCUGUGCACCCUCAAUAAAUUCACAGGUGACACAAAAUGCAGGGAAGUGCAUGACUCAUUAAAGGGCUACAUGGUCAUCCAGAGGGACUUCAGCAGGCAGGCUGACAAAGGUGGGCUGACAAAAAUCUCAUUAAAUUCAACAACAAGAAGUGUGGAGUCCUGUACCUGGGAGGAACAACCCCAGGCAUGAGGACAUGCUGGGGGUCACCCAUCUGGAAAGCUGCUUUUCAGGAAAGGACCUGGGAGUAUGGUAGACACCAAGUGUCUUGCAGCCAGAUUGGACUAAAAGACAAAAUAUUAACAAGAGUAAAUAUUACUCUGAAGCAGAAAUUUCUGUGAAAAACUGUACAAAACAAAAACUUGAUUUGGAGCUACUCAAACAUGUUCCCUCAUCCAAAUCAUCAAUAAAGAUAUUAAAGAGGAUGGGUCCCAACACCAACCCCUGUGGAACACCACUGCUGACCAGACACCAGCUGGAUUUCACUCCAUUCACCACCAUUCUCUGGGCCAAGUCGUCCAGCCAGUUUUCAACCCAGCAGACGGUGUACCUGUCCAGCCCAUGGGCUGUCAACUUCUCCAGGAGAAUACUGUGGGAGACCAUGUCAAAGGUCUUGCUGAAGUCUAGGUAGACUAUGUCAACAGCCUUUCCCUCAUCCACCAGGCGGGUCACCUGGUCAUGGAAGGAGAUGUGGUUGGUCAGGCAGGACUUGCCUUUCAUGAUCCCAUGCUAACGGGGCCUGAUCUCCUGGUGGUCCUGCACACAUUGCAUGAUUAUAUUCAAGAUGGCCUGUUCCAUAACUAUCCCUGAUACUAAGGUCAGGCUGACAGGCUUGUAGUUCCCUGGAUCCUUCUUACCACCUUUCUUAUACAUGGGCACAUUAGGAAGUGUCCAGUCAUCUAGACCUCUCUGGAUGGCCAGGACUAUGAAUACAAUAUCAUUGUUGUAGAGUAAAACCAAUCACAAACAAAAUUUGCUACAUUUUUGAAAAACUUUGCAUAAUCUACCUUUAAAAAAAAAAAAAAAAAAAAAAA